rnacentral:rRNA from 1 species
AGUGAACGCUGGCGGUAGGCCUAACACAUGCAAGUCGAACGGCAGCACAGUAAGGGCUUGCUCUUACGGGUGGCGAGUGGCGGACGGGUGAGGAAUACAUCGGAAUCUACUUUUUCGUGGGGGAUAACGUAGGGAAACUUACGCUAAUACCGCAUACGACCUACGGGUGAAAGCAGGGGAUCUUCGGACCUUGCGCGAUUGAAUGAGCCGAUGUCGGAUUAGCUAGUUGGCGGGGUAAAGGCCCACCAAGGCGACGAUCCGUAGCUGGUCUGAGAGGAUGAUCAGCCACACUGGAACUGAGACACGGUCCAGACUCCUACGGGAGGCAGCAGUGGGGAAUAUUGGACAAUGGGCGCAAGCCUGAUCCAGCCAUACCGCGUGGGUGAAGAAGGCCUUCGGGUUGUAAAGCCCUUUUGUUGGGAAAGAAAAGCAGCAGGUUAAUAUCCCGCUGUUCUGACGGUACCCAAAGAAUAAGCACCGGCUAACUUCGUG